rnacentral:rRNA from 1 species
AUUCCAGCUCCAAUAGCGUAUAUUAAAGUUGUUGCAGUUAAAAAGCUCGUAGUUGAACUUCAGGCUUGGUUGGGCGGUCCGCCUCACGGCGCGUACUGUCUGACUGGGUCUUACCUCUUGGUGAGCCAGCGUGGCCUUUAUUGGUUGCGUUGGGGAACCAGGACUUUUACCUUGAGAAAAUUAGAGUGUUCAAAGCAGGCCUAUGUCCGAAUACAUUAGCAUGGAAUAAUAAAAUAGGACGUGCGAUCCUAUUUUGUUGGUUUCUAGAGUCGCCGUAAUGAUUAAUAGGGAUAGUUGGGGGCAUUGGUAUUGAGUCGCUAGAGGUGAAAUUCUUGGAUUGACUCAAGACCAACUACCGCGAAAGCAUUUGCCAAGGAUGUUUUCAUUA